rnacentral:pre_miRNA from 1 species
GAUGCAUCCGGAUGAAGUCUUCAUCGGCCCUGAACGUAUUGGAACAGGUCGGUGGGACUUUCGUCCGUUUGCAGA